rnacentral:rRNA from 1 species
AUUCGCUAGUAAUCGCGCAUCAGCCAUGGCGCGGUGAAUACGUUCCCGGGCCUUGUACACACCGCCCGUCAAGCCAUGGGAGCCGGGGGCGCCUGAAGUCCGGGACCGCGAGGACCGGCCUAAGGCGAAACUGGUGACUGGGGCUAAGUCGUAACAAGGUAGC